GGUAAGCGAUGGGGUGACGCAGGAAGGUAGUCCAGCCCAGGCGAUGGUUGUCCUGGGGUAAGCAUGUAGGGCGUGUCGUAGGUAAAUCCGCGGCAUUUAAGCCUGAGAUGUGAUGCCGAGCCGAUUGUGGUGAAGUGGAUGAUCCUAUGCUGCCGAGAAAAGCCUCUAGUGAGUGUUGUGGCGGCCCGUACCCUAAACCGACUCAGGUGGUCAGGUAGAGAAUACCAAGGCGAUCGGGUGAACUGUGGUUAAGGAACUCGGCAAAUUGCCCCCGUAACUUCGGGAGAAGGGGGACCUCUGUUGGUGAUGGGCUUUACGCCUGGAGCUGGUGGGGGUCGCAGUGGCCAGGGGGAAGCGACUGUUUACUAAAAACACAGGUCCGUGCGAAGUCGUAAGGCGAUGUAUACGGACUGACGCCUGCCCGGUGCCGGAACGUUAAGGGGACCGCUUAGCUGACGUGAGUUGGCGAAGGUGAGAACUUAGGCGCCGGUAAACGGCGGUGGUAACUAUAACCAUCCUAAGGUAGCGAAAUUCCUUGUCGGGUAAGUUCCGACCUGCACGAAUGGCGUAACGACUUCCCCGCUGUCUCAACCGCAGACCCGGCGAAAUUGCACUACGAGUAAAGAUGCUCGUUUCGCGCAGCAGGACGGAAAGACCCCGGGACCUUCACUACAGCUUGACAUUGGCGUUUGGAACGUCUUGUGUAGGAUAGGUGGGAGACUGGGAAGCUGUCACGCUAGUGAUGGUGGAGUCAUUGGUGAAAUACCACUCUGGUCGUUUUGAACGUCUAACUCUGGUCCGUGAUCCGGAUCGGGGACAGUGUCUGGUGGGUAGUUUAACUGGGGCGGUUGCCUCCUAAAGAGUAACGGAGGCGCCCAAAGGUUCCCUCAGCCUGGUUGGCAAUCAGGUGUUGAGUGUAAGUGCACAAGGGAGCUUGACUGUGAGACUGACAGGUCGAGCAGGAGCGAAAGCUGGGACUAGUGAUCCGGCAUCGGCGUGUGGAAGCGGUGUCGCUCAACGGCUAAAAGGUACCCCGGGGAUAACAGGCUGAUCUUCCCCAGGAGUCCAUAUCGACGGGAUGGUUUGGCACCUCGAUGUCGGCUCGUCGCAUCCUGGGGCUGGAGUAGGUCCCAAGGGUUGGGCUGUUCGCCCAUUAAAGCGGUACGCGAGCUGGGUUUAGAACGUCGCGAGACAGUUCGGUCCCUAUCCGCUGCGCGCGCAGGAGACUUGAAGGGGGCUGUCCCUAGUACGAGAGGACCGGGACGGACGAACCUCUGGUGUGCCAGUUGUACCGCCGGGUGCACGGCUGGUUGGCUACGUUCGGAAGGGAUAACCGCUGAAAGCAUCUAAGCGGGAAGCUCGCCUUGAGAUGAGGUCUCCCACCACGAGAGUGGGUAAGGCUCCCGGUAGACGACCGGGUUGAUAGGCCGGAGGUGGAAGCACGGUAACGUGUGGAGCUGACCGGUACUAAUAGGCCGAGGACUUGACC
rnacentral:rRNA from 1 species